rnacentral:rRNA from 1 species
UGCCAGCAGCCGCGGUAAUACAGAGGGUGCAAGCGUUAAUCGGAAUUACUGGGCGUAAAGCGCACGUAGGUGGAUAUUUAAGUCAGAUGUGAAAGCCCUGGGCCUAACCUGGGAACUGCAUUUGAAACUGGGUAUCUAGAGUAUGUAAGAGGAUAGAGGAAUUCCCGGUGUAGCGGUGAAAUGCGUAGAUAUUGGGAAGAACACCAGUGGCGAAGGCGGCUCUCUGGUCCAUACCUGACGCUGAGGCGCGAAAGCGUGGGGAGCAAACAGGAUUAGAUA